GACGAACGCUGGCGGCGUGCUUAACACAUGCAAGUCGAGCGGUAAGGCCCUUUCGGGGGUACGACGAGCGGCGAACGGGUGAGUAACACGUGGGUGACCUGCCCUCAGCUCUGGGAUAAGCCUGGGAAACCGGGUCUAAUACCGGAUAUGACUCCAUGACGCAUGUUGUGGGGUGGAAAGCCUUGUGCGGCUGAGGAUGGGCCCGCGGCCUAUCAGCUUGUUGGUGGGGUGAUGGCCUACCAAGGCGACGACGGGUAGCCGGCCUGAGAGGGCGACCGGCCACACUGGGACUGAGACACGGCCCAGACUCCUACGGGAGGCAGCAGUGGGGAAUCUUGCGCAAUGGGCGAAAAGCCUGACGCAGCGACGCCGCGUGAGGGAUGACGGCCUGUGUACUAC
rnacentral:rRNA from 1 species